rnacentral:ncRNA from 2 species
GAGGAAGUCGGUGCAAGCCCGACGCGGUCCCGCCACUGUGAGCCCGGCUCUGCACCCUCAGGAGCACGGGUGAGCCAGACACUC